rnacentral:rRNA from 1 species
UACGAAGGGGGCUAGCGUUGUUCGGAAUUACUGGGCGUAAAGCGCACGUAGGCGGAUAUUUAAGUCGGGGGUGAAAUCCCGGGGCUCAACCCCGGAACUGCCUUCGAUACUGGGUAUCUUGAGUUCGGAAGAGGUGAGUGGAAUUGCGAGUGUAGAGGUGAAAUUCGUAGAUAUUCGCAGGAACACCAGUGGCGAAGGCGGCUCACUGGUCCGAUACUGACGCUGAGGAGCGAAAGCGUGGGUAGCGAACAGG